rnacentral:lncRNA from 1 species
GUGUGGACGAUCCGCAGAGGCCAGAUAUUUGUGUGGCUGCGAUGUGACGAUCAGAGCCCUCCGACGGUGAUCAGAUUGCGGUGAUCGACUACCCGCAAAAGGUGAUGUGUUCUGAACACAGUACUGUAAAAGGUUUACUGAUUCAAAUUUGAAUUUCAAAUUUAAAUGCAUGCUGUUGUAUCAUAUUUAGAUCCUAGUAUAGGGUUAAUUAGUAUUAAUUAAUGAGAUUAAUUAAUAAUUC